rnacentral:rRNA from 1 species
GACGAACGCUGGCGGCGUGCUUAACACAUGCAAGUCGAACGGAAAGGCCCUGCUUUUGUGGGGUGCUCGAGUGGCGAUCGGGUGCGUAACACGUGUGUAACCUGCCCUUGACUUUGGGAUAACUUCAGGAAACGGGGGCUAAUCCCGUAUAGGAGCUCCUGCUGCAGGGUGGGGGUUGGAACGUUGCGGCGGUAGGGGAUGGAUUCGCGGCUUAUGGGCUUGUUAGUGGGGUAGGUGUUUACCAACGGUUUGGCGGGUCGGCCGCCGGUGAGGGGGGACGGCCACAAUGGGACUGAGAGACGGCGCAGACGGCUACGGGAGGCAGCGGUGGGGAGUCUUGCACAGUGGGCGGGAGUCUGAGGCAGCGACGCUGGGUGCGGGAUGCCGGCCUUCGGGUUGUAAACCGCUUUCGCCUGUGACGAAGCGGUAGUGACGGUAAUGGGUAAAGAAGCACCGGCUAACUACGUG